UACGUAGGGCGCGAGCGUUGUCCGGAAUUAUUGGGCGUAAAGAGCUCGUAGGCGGCCUGUUGCGUCCGCUGUGAAAUCCCAGGGCUCAACCCUGGGCGUGCAGUGGAUACGGGCAGGCUGGAGGCAGGCAGGGGAGAACGGAAUUCCCGGUGUAGCGGUGAAAUGCGCAGAUAUCGGGAGGAACACCAGUGGCGAAGGCGGCGACCUGGACGGACACUGACGCUGAGACGCGAAAGCGUGGGGAGCAAACAGG
rnacentral:rRNA from 1 species